rnacentral:lncRNA from 1 species
UCAACAAGAAAACAGUCAACAAGAAAACAGUCAACCACAAACAGUCAGCAAGAAAACAGUCAGCAAGAAAACACUCAAACAUAAACAGUCAACAAGAAAACAGUCAACACCAAACCAGUCAACAGGAAAAUGGUCAACAAAAAACAGUCAGCAAGAAAACAAUCAACACGAAAACAAUCAACAAGAAAACAGUCAGCAAGAAAAUGCUGCUCCCCCGUGUCGUUCAGGAGCCCAAACAAAGUUAGCGUGCUACAAUAUCGGACAGUAGAAACCAACCAGAAAGUUCGGAAAAUUGUCUGAAUCCUCCUUUGGCCACGACUGCCGACACAAGCAAGAAAACAAAGUAAAUACCGGAGACUCUGGAGGAAUAACGGGCGCUUAAAACGGAGGUAGACCGGACAAGAGCUAAAAAGCCGGGUCAACAUAAACCAUGGGGGACGCUUGGGGAUCUUGGUGACCCUGUAACCUUUCUGCUGGACAGGUAAACUGCUUUUGUAAUGAUCUGAAGUAUUUAUCUGCAUUAUAUCUGAAUUUAAUCGGAACGAUACGAGCGAGCAGGAGCGUCUGUUUGUGGGCGGGGCUUGAGGGGAGAGGAGGAGCUGAGGGGAAAACUGGUUGGGAGGGGUCGAGUUUACAUUCAAGAUUUCUCC